rnacentral:misc_RNA from 1 species
UUAACUUGUGAGGCAUCCUUUGUGUUUAUCGUUCUUGAACUUUGAAGAUCGGGAUUUGCCAUUCAAAAAGGGUUCUUCAGAUUCAAUGCCUUUCCCACCUGGUGUUGGUGGAGGACUUGGGACUGGAGAUGUAAACGUCAAUGCUCAGAGUUAUGAGGUGAUUACAGCAGACAGGGCUAUUGAUGAGAGCAAUGUGGGCAAUAGAAUGCUCCGCAGUAUGGGCUGGCAUGAAGGCUUGGGAUUGGGGAAGGAUGGAAGUGGAAUGAUAGAACCAGUACAAGCAAAAGCCAUGGAGAAUCGAGCAGGACUUGGGAGUCGGCAGAAGAAAUUGGAUCCUAGUCUUGAGGU